AGUUCAUUCAAUAUCUGCCCUAUCAACUUUCGAUGGUAGUAUAGAGGACUACCAUGGUGGUAACGGGUAACGGAGAAUCAGGGUUUGAUUCCGGAGAAGGAGCCUGAGAAACGGCUACUACUUCCAAGGAAGGCAGCAGGCGCGCAAAUUACCCAAUCCCGACACGGGGAGGUAGUGACAAAAAAUAACAAUACCGGUCUUAUUUAAGUCUGGUAAUUGGAAUGAGUACAAUCUAAACCUUUUAACGAGUAUCAAUUGGAGGGCAAGUCUGGUGCCAGCAGCCGCGGUAAUUCCAGCUCCAAUAGCAUAUAUUAAAGUUGUUGCAGUUAAAAAGCUCGUAGUUGGAUUUYGAAGUU
rnacentral:rRNA from 1 species